UGACAACCAUCUUAUAGAGCAAUAGAGAGGUAAAUGUUCCUCAACCAAGACAACCAACCUUAGCCCACACGCUGGAGUCUGCAGGGUGCUUGCUAGUAGGGUGUUUCAAAGGCUCAUUCAUAACCCAACCUUCGUUGUAGUCUGAUUUUAUCCAUUCAAUUGAUGGGAUGAGUGGGCAUUACCUCUUUUUUCAUUGUUUUAAACAUUAGGACUCACUACAUUUGAAGGGUACGUCUCGUAGUACCGUGAGAUGCUAACCUCCCAAGGGGCCUAUAUGACAUUUGGUAGAUGUUAUUUAAUCAUGGCUUCAAGCGACAUGAAUUUCGUGGGAGCAAAAAUCUGCGCUUCCAUGUACCUGGGACACCUUAAUAUCACGGUAUGCCAUAUCCAAAAAAUUCAAUAAUCAUUCAACCCAACUAAAUCUUUUCCCAGCAAUGCUAUAUGGACCACAAUCGCAGUACUUAUAAUUUUAGGGGAAAAAAACAAUAGAAUAGAAUAGAAAGGGCAGGGGACAUUCAUUUAUACCUGGCCCUUUGCAACAAAUUCUCUCCAUCGAGAAGGCUUCCAGAUUGUUCGGGCUUAGUUCGGUAAGUGCUUUCUGCAUGAAGAUUAAGUAUGUAAUGGCCGUGAUCAAUAACAUGCGCAUAUAAUUAAGUUUAGGUGAUUAUAGAGUUAAGGCAGAUAAAAUAAACGCGAAAGUGGUUUUCAUAACCUUUGGAAAACUAUAUGUACCAUUCAUCAUGCUAUCACUAUAAUAAAGAAUUUGUUAGACACUACUUCACGUGGCAUCCAUAUUUAUGAGCAGAGAAAAUGGGGCUGCUAUGGAUGAGUUUUGGUAAAAUAUAUAUCAGGUACUUCAAGGCGUGGGCUGUCCGUGAACUUCAUAGAACCACUUUGGACAUCUCAAAAAACGAAAUGGAAGGCAUUUAUAAAGAUUUAUUUCUAUGCAAAUACAUCCAUUUGGGUCUUCUACGAUCCAAACUUAGAAUUGUGCCGAUUAAGAGAGUCAUUCUAUACAUGGAAGGGAAUGCAAAGAGAGGACUGAAACAACUUUGGGAAAAACAUAUUGGAAACAUUGAACUCUAAAACUCAAUCAAAAUAAACCCAUUUUUAGAGUAAUGGAAACAGUGGAACAACUUGAGGGAACGAUUGAGGUAUACCAAUAGAGAACUCACUGGCGAUUUUCACCGAACAGUUGGUGUCCUCGACUGAAAUCCCAGCCAAAUCCUUGCGUCAUCAAAUACCACAGCCUGAAGAAUUGGGUUGGGAUGUAAGAGAAGCUGAGGUCUGACCUUCUGAGAAGAUUCUUGCUGUUGAAUCUGUUGAGUAUGGUACCAAGAACACAAGCACAAUCCGUGGAUGAUUCUGGAUUUUAAGUUGUGGCAGAUGCAUAGGUUGCCAGGCAAUCAAUCGAAGCUUGUAUUUUGCUCAACAAUAGUAGCGUGCUGAAGAUGAUUGCCGACUGAAUCCGAGAGGCGAGCGAGUUGCUCAACAAAUGAAGGACGAGCGAGACAGUUUCGUCUUUCGAGCAAAAUUGGGAGGGCAUUUUCGUAAUCCCGAGCGUUAGAAGUUUAGAACACUUCGCACCUUUCAAGUUGUAUAGAUUUGAAAACAAGACCAUGCACAGUCCCCUACCUAUAUAAUAUGACAAUAAUAUUAUAGACACUAAUUUUCUUUUAUUAAAUAUACAUAUAAUAUCCUUAUUGU
rnacentral:lncRNA from 1 species